GCAGACCAACUGAAGAUCUACCAGGACAAGAGGCGCCCCAAUCGCAACUGCCCGCGCUGCAACUGGCCCCGCAGUCGCAGCGCGGGCAGUUGCGAUCGGCGCACUUCUUGUCCUGGUAGAUCUUCAGUUGGUCUGCA
rnacentral:pre_miRNA from 1 species